AAUGGACUACAGUGCCCUCCCUUGGACUUGAUGACAAUAUCUAUGUCAAAGUAUUCAUGAUACCAGCUCAUCUGACGCUGCGUCUUGAAAGGUCCUGGGCCACGCCAAACAGUGACCCCUACAGCAACAUACAGUACUCAUUCAUCCAGGAGAGUUGCCCUGUACCAGGAAGUGCAUCUACCCUGGAGGUGCUGAGGAAUGGUCAGGGACCAGAGGCCAUGUUCAGGAUCCAAAUGUUCAAGUUCGUGGGCAGCUCCUACACCGAUGUCUUCCUCCACUGCAACGUCCAGAUCUGCCCCAGUUCUGCAGGGGUCUGCCAGCCAAACUGCUCUGGAGAGGACACAUUAAGCAGAACACGCAGAGAUGUCACCAUGUCUCAUACAGUGUCUUACGGACCAAUCAGAAGACAGCUAGCCAACGGUGGCCACAAUGACCUGAAUAACAAGACCGGUAUCUCUGUGGAGAGUGUGGUGCUUGGAAGCACACUGUUGGUGUUGCUACUGGUAACAGGAGUUUUUGUUAGGCUCUGGCUCCGCAGUAGGGGCUCAUACCCUCCCAAUGAUGCCCAGCUCACCCUCUCCAACAUACACCACCUAUCAGAGGUGGCUUCAUGAAGCAGCACACAUUCACAGAUUUCAGUGUACAUACUGGUGUAGAGGGUCAUGAUGACAAGUAGCCUACAGAUAGACAAGGUGAAACAAGUGAAAUAGAAAAAUAUUUUGGUUUAUUUUAAACUUUUUGUACAGUUUUAUGUGUGCUAACUUCUUCGGAGUUUCAGAAAAAAUAAAAUCCAGAUUCUACAUCA
rnacentral:lncRNA from 1 species